AGCCACAGCCAUGUCACCCUGCAGCCAUGUCACUAAGCAGCGCUGAGCCUGGUCAGUACCUGGAUGGGAGCCCACUAGAGAACACUAGGUUGCUGUUGGAA
rnacentral:rRNA from 1 species